rnacentral:rRNA from 1 species
AACGAACGCUGGCGGCAUGCCUAACACAUGCAAGUCGAACGAGACCUUCGGGUCUAGUGGCGCACGGGUGCGUAACGCGUGGGAACCUGCCCUUAGGUUCGGAAUAACUCCCCGAAAGGGGUGCUAAUACCGGCUAAUGUCUUCGGACCAAAGAUUUAUCGCCUUUGGAUGGGCCCGCGUUGGAUUAGCUAGUUGGUAGGGUAAAAGCCUACCAAGGCGACGAUCCAUAGCUGGUCUGAGAGGAUGAUCAGCCACACUGGGACUGAGACACGGCCCAGACUCCUACGGGAGGCAGCAGUGGGGAAUAUUGGACAAUGGGCGAAAGGCUGAUCCAGCAAUGCCGCGUGAGUGAUGAAGGCCUUAGGGUUGGAAAGCUCUUUUACCCGGGAUGAUAAUGACAGUACCGGGAGAAUAAGCUCCGGCUAACUCCGUG